rnacentral:rRNA from 1 species
GAUGAACGCUGGCGGCGUGCCUAAUACAUGCAAGUCGAGCGAACGGACGAGAAGCUUGCUUUUCUGAUGUUAGCGGCGGACGGGUGAGUAACACGUGGAUAACCUACCUAUAAGACUGGGAUAACUUCGGGAAACCGGAGCUAAUACCGGAUAAUAUUUUGAACCGCAUGGUUCAAAAGUGAAAGACGGUCUUGCUGUCACUUAUAGAUGGAUCCGCGCUGCAUUAGCUAGUUGGUAAGGUAACGGCUUACCAAGGCAACGAUGCAUAGCCGACCUGAGAGGGUGAUCGGCCACACUGGAACUGAGACACGGUCCAGACUCCUACGGGAGGCAGCAGUAGGGAAUCUUCCGCAAUGGGCGAAAGCCUGACGGAGCAACGCCGCGUGAGUGAUGAAGGUCUUCGGAUCGUAAAACUCUGUUAUUAGGGAAGAACAUAUGUGUAAGUAACUGUGCACAUCUUGACGGUACCUAAUCAGAAAGCCACGGCUAACUACGUGCCAGCAGCCGCGGUAAUACGUAGGUGGCAAGCGUUAUCCGGAAUUAUUGGGCGUAAAGCGCGCGUAGGCGGUUUUUUAAGUCUGAUGUGAAAGCCCACGGCUCAACCGUGGAGGGUCAUUGGAAACUGGAAAACUUGAGUGCAGAAGAGGAAAGUGGAGUUCCAUGUGUAGCGGUGAAAUGCGCAGAGAUGUGGAGGAACACCAGUGGCGAAGGCGACUUUCUGGUCUGUAACUGACGCUGAUGUGCGAAAGCGUGGGGAUCAAACAGGAUUAGAUACCCUGGUAGUCCACGCCGUAAACGAUGAGUGCUAAGUGUUAGGGGGUUUCCGCCCCUUAGUGCUGCAGCUAACGCAUUAAGCACUCCGCCUGGGGAGUACGACCGCAAGGUUGAAACUCAAAGGAAUUGACGGGGGCCCGCACAAGCGGUGGAGCAUGUGGUUUAAUUCGAAGCAACGCGAAGAACCUUACCAAAUCUUGACAUCCUUUGACAACUCUAGAGAUAGAGCCUUCCCCUUCGGGGGACAAAGUGACAGGUGGUGCAUGGUUGUCGUCAGCUCGUGUCGUGAGAUGUUGGGUUAAGUCCCGCAACGAGCGCAACCCUUAAGCUUAGUUGCCAUCAUUAAGUUGGGCACUCUAAGUUGACUGCCGGUGACAAACCGGAGGAAGGUGGGGAUGACGUCAAAUCAUCAUGCCCCUUAUGAUUUGGGCUACACACGUGCUACAAUGGACAAUACAAAGGGCAGCGAAACCGCGAGGUCAAGCAAAUCCCAUAAAGUUGUUCUCAGUUCGGAUUGUAGUCUGCAACUCGACUACAUGAAGCUGGAAUCGCUAGUAAUCGUAGAUCAGCAUGCUACGGUGAAUACGUUCCCGGGUCU